AAACACUUAUUUAAUAUUUAUUAGUAUUGUCCAAAGAAGUUCAUGUAGACAAUCUCUUUUUAGUUCUGUGAAACUAAUUCCCCAGACAUCUUUAAAAUAAAGUAGAAUGCUGAAAGAAAGAAAGAAAGCUCUGACGGCGUGGACCUACUUCACCAAGUAAACAUGAUUACCAUGACAAAGUAGACCCCCAAAAAAAACCACCAAACAGGCUACACAACCACAGAAAGACUUCAUCUAACGGAGGCACACAAGGUUUAUUUCAGAUCUUAUGGUGUUACAAAAUCCACACACACUAUACUGGGAUAAAAAGGCACUGAUUUGUUGAUUUGAAAUGAGACCAUUAAAUCAGAUAAUAGUUCUACCAAUACUGUGGUAAUAACAUGAUGGAUUCUUAUUACUUUGAAAAGCUACUGAGGUGGAAGAUUCUGAAAGAGCCAUGGAAGUGGGGGAAAACAGUUGAAAACACUUAACAAUACCAACGUUUCAAUAUCUACAGGUCUGGAAACAGUUGAAAACACUUAACAAUACCAACACCAGAGCUACGUUUCAAUAUCUACAGGUCUGGAAACAGUUGAAAACAAUUAACACUACCAACACCAGAGCUACGUUUCACUAUCUACAGGUCUGGAAACAGUAACCAUUAAAUCUAUCCAUAGUGGAAAGCAACAGAUGCAUUGACUAACUGUUACACGGUUAUGGAACAUCCUCUAGUACUGCAGUCAGCUACACAGUGGUUUAAACAUGAGCGCUACAGUAUUGCUCAGUACACUCCCAAGGGCCGUAUUCCGUCUGGGAUCGCUGAAGCGGUACAGAUUGCGUGAUAGAAAAUGUAGAUUGAGUCGACAUAUGCAGAGUUUACAGUGAAUGCAUUCUCCACUAAACGGGGGAACAUUGCCUUUAAAUUUAAAUCAUGCUGGAGCGUUGAACUCCCGCGAUACGGAUUGAAUUUAGGAGCCCUAAAUCCCACAACAGUCCAACAACGAGUGAUAAAACCAAAUGGGUCACAAAGAGGAGUGUGUAACGGUCAGUCUCCAUGAUGGGGAUCCAGCCAGGUCAGUCUCCAUGAUGGGGAUCCAGCCAGGUCAGUCUCCAUGAUGGGGAUCCAGCCAGGUCAGUCUCCAUGAUGGGGAUCCAGCCAGACCAGGUCAGGAGGUCAGGUCAGUCUCCAUGAUGGGGAUCCAGCCAGGUCAGUCUCCAUGAUGGGGAUCCAGCCAGGUCAGGCUCCAUGAUGGGGAUCCAGCCAGGUCAGUCUCCAUGAUGGGGAUCCAGCCAGGUCAGUCUCCAUGAUGGGGAUCCAGCCAGGUCAGUCUCCAUGAUGGGGAUCCAGCCAGGUCAGUCUCCAUGAUGGGGAUCCAGCCAGGUCAGUCUCCAUGAUGGGGAUCCAGCCAGACCAGGUCAGGAGGUCAGGUCAGUCUCCAUGAUGGGGAUCCAGCCAGGUCAGUCUCCAUGAUGGGGAUCCAGCCAGGUCAGGCUCCAUGAUGGGGAUCCAGCCAGACCAGGUCAGGAUGUCAGGUCAGUCUCCAUGAUGGGGAUCCAGCCAGACCAGGUCAGGAGGUCAGUAGUCAUACUCCUUGUCUAUAAACUUGGCCAUGGUGG